AACGCACGAGACCUGCGGACCUGCGGAAGGAUCAUUACAUGAUUUGAGGGGGCUCACGCCCCCUCAUCCAACCCACAAACCCCGAGGAACUUUUAUGUCGAGUGGUUCGGCGCUCUCUUUGAGAGCCGCCCCUCAAACGCAUCGCAGGCUUUUCGUGAAGGUCUGAUGUGUCACAUCGUGAGUAUUAAAACUUUCAACAAUGGAUCUCU
rnacentral:misc_RNA from 1 species